rnacentral:rRNA from 1 species
AGUCUGGUGCCAGCAGCCGCGGUAAUUCCAGCUCCGCAAGUGUAUAUCUAUGUUGCUGCGGUUAAAAAGCUCGUAGUUGGAUCUGCGUGUUUAGCGUCCGGUUCGACUUUUGGUCGUUACUGGAACGCGACACAGAUGUGCUGGUUUGCCGUUGAUGCUCUUAACCGGGUGUCAGUGGCGGCUAGCGAGUUUACUUUGAAAAAAUUAGAGUGCUCAAAACAGGCGUUUCGCCUGAAUAUUUCUGCAUGGAAUAAUAGAAUAGGACUUCGAUUCCAUUCUGUUGGUUUUCGGAAUGCGAAGUAAUGAUUAAGAGGGACAGACGGGGGCAUUCGUACUGCGACGUUAGAGGUGAAAUUCUUGGAUCGUCGCAAGACGUACUACUGCGAAGGCAUUUGCCAAGAAUGUUUUCAUUAAUCAAGAACGAAAGUUAUGGGUUCGAAGGCGAUCAGAUACCGCCCUAGUCAUAACCGUAAACGAUUCAAACUGGGCGCCCGACGGUGUUUUUAUUAACCCGUCGGGAACCCUCCCGGAAACGAAAGUGUUCGUGUUCCGGGGGAAAUAUGUCUGCAAAGAGGAAACUUAAAGGAAUUGACGGAAGGGCACCACCAGGGGUGGAGCCUGCGGCUUAAUUUGACCCAACACGGGGAAACUCACCCGGCCCGGACACCGUAAGGAUUGACAGAUUGAGAGCUCUUUCUUGAUUCGGUGGGUGGUGGUGCAUGGCCGUUCUUAGUUGGUGGAGUGAUUUGUCUGGUUUAUUCCGAUAACGAACGAGACUCUGGCCUGCUAACUAGUGUUCACAUCUUUACGUGUGCUUCGCUUCUUAGAGGGACAGGCGGCUUCCAGCCGCAUGAAGAAGAGCAAUAACAGGUCUGUGAUGCCCUUAGAUGUCCGGGGCUGCACGCGCGCUACACUGAAAGAAUCAGCGUGUACGUUACCUGGCUCGAAAGAGUCGGGUAAUCCGGUGAAAAUCUUUCGUGAUUGGGAUCGGGACUUGCAAUUAUUUCCCUUGAACGAGGAAUCCCUAGUAAGUGCGGGUCAUCAGCUCGCGCUGAUUACGUCCCUGCCCUUUGUACACACCGCCCGUCGCUGCCCGGAACUGAGCCGUUUCGAGAAAAAUGGGGACUGUCUACUUGAGGUCUUCACGGACUUUUUGUAAAUGGAAACCGCUU